CUUAUGCAGGGCUCCUCGUUACUUAUGACGGCCUUCGGGUGGUAAAGCUCUGUCGUAAGGGAAGAACGGCGAUGAUAGGGAAUGAUCAUCGAGUGACGGUACCUUACCAGAAAGCCACGGCUAACUACGUGCCAGCAGCCGCGGUAAUACGUAGGUGGCAAGCGUUAUCCGGAAUUAUUGGGCGUAAAGGGUGCGUAGGCGGCCAUUUAAGUCUAAGGUGAAAGUUCGAGGCUCAACUUCGAAUUGCCUUAGAAACUGGAUGGCUAGAGUGCAGGAGAGGGCAAUGGAAUUCCAUGUGUAGCGGUAAAAUGCGUAGAUAUAUGGAGGAACACCAGUGGCGAAGGCGGUUGCCUGGCCUGUAACUGACGCUAAACCACAAAAGCGUGGGGACCAAAUAGGAUAAAAUCCCCUAUUAUUCCACGCUGUAAACGAUGAUUACUAAGUGUGGGGAAACUCAGUGCUGCAGUUAACGCAAUAAGUAAUCCGCCUGGGGAGUAUGCACGCAAGUGUGAAACUCAAA
rnacentral:rRNA from 1 species